rnacentral:rRNA from 1 species
UCAAGCUAAUAAGAGCGUAGGGUGAAUGCCUUGGCAUUAAGAGCCGAAGAAGGACGUGGUUAACUGCGAAAAGCCAUGGGGAGCUGUAAGCAAGCAUUGAUCCAUGGAUAUCCGAAUGGGGAAACCCGGCGGUCGUAAUGGGCCGUCACCGUUACAUGAAUAAAUAGUGUAACGGGGGGAACCCGGUGAACUGAAACAUCUAAGUAGCCGGAGGAAGAGAAAGAAAGAUCGAUUUUCUUAGUAGCGGCGAGCGAACGGGAAAGAGGCCAAACCGGGACUCUACGGAGUACCGGGGUUGAGGACCUGCGGAAUCGAAGUUGGAGAUAGUCGAAGACGGUUGGAAAGCCGAACCGGAGAGGGUAAAAGUCCCGUAGGCGAAAUCAAAGACGAGAGGCGGGUAUCCAGAGUACCACAGGACACGAGUAAUCCGGUGGGAAGCAGGGGGGUCCACCCCCCAAGCCUAAAUACUACUUAAUGACCGAUAGCGUAUAGUACCGUGAGGGAAAGGUGAAAAGAACCCCGGGAGGGGAGUGAAAGAGAACCUGAAACCCUAUGCUUACAAGCAGAUGGAGCACUAUUAGAGAGUGUGACAUUGUACUUUUUGUAGAACGGGCCAGCGAGUUACGAUAUGCAGCGAGGUUAAGGCGUUAAGCGCCGGAGCCGCAGGGAGACCGAGUCUUAAUAGGGCGACAGUUGUAUGUUGUAGACCCGAAACCGGGCGACCUACCCAUGAGCAGGUUGAAGCGGUGGUAAGACACCGUGGAGGACCGAACCACACGCACGUUGAAAAGUGCGGGGAUGACUUGUGGGUAGCGGAGAAAUUCCAAUCGAGCUCGGAGAUAGCUGGUUCUCCUCGAAAUAGCUUUAGGGCUAGCCUCACUUGAAGAUAUAUGGGGGUAGAGCACUGAAUGGGCUAGGGGGUCUCAAAGCUUACCGAACCUUAUCAAACUACGAAUACCAUAUAUUACCUAAGUGGGAGUCAGACGGCGUGAGAUAAGUUUCGUCGUCAAAAGGGAAAGAGCCCAGAUCAUCAGCUAAGGCCCCAAAGUGCAGGUUAAGUGGAAAAGGAUGUGGGACUGCAUAGACAACUAGGAUGUUGGCUUAGAAGCAGCCACUCAUUUAAAGAGUGCGUAAUAGCUCACUAGUCGAGUGGUCCUGCGCCGAAAAUGUCCGGGGCUAAAACCUGCCGCCGAAGCUAUGGGUGCACGUAAGUGCGCGGUAGAGGAGCAUCGUGUAUUGGCAGAAGCGAUACCGAGAGGAGUCGUGGACGAUACAGGAGAGAGAAUGCUGGCAUGAGUAGCGAGAGGGAGGUGAGAAUCCUCCCCAUCGAAAGCCUAAGGUUUCCUGGGGAAGGCUCGUCCACCCAGGGUAAGUCGGGACCUAAGCCGAGGACUAGAUGGUCGUAGGCGAUGGACAACAGGUUGAUAUUCCUGUACUACCUUUAGCGUUAAAACGAGGCAGUGACACAGGAGGAUAGGCAGAGCGGGUUGAUGGUAGAACCCGUCCAAGCAUUUAGGGAGACAGAGUAGUGAAGUACGCUUUGUUGAUAAUUCUGAGAUGUGAUGGGGACAGAAAAUAAGUAUGGAAGCUGCUGAAUCCACACUGGCGAGAAAAGCUGCUAGGAGCGAAGAGGUACCCGUACCGCAAACCGACACAGGUAGGCGAGGAGAGAAUCCUAAGAUGAGCGAGAUAACCAUUGUUAAGGAACUCGGCAAAAUGACCCCGUAACUUAGGGAGAAGGGGUGCCUAGAAAUAGGUCGCAGAGAAUAGGUCCAAGCGACUGUUUAGCAAAAACACAGGUCUGUGCGAAAUCGAGAGAUGAAGUAUACGGGCUGACGCCUGCCCAGUGCCGGAAGGUUAAGGGGAAAUGUUAGUCGAAAGGCGAAGCAUGGAACUUAAGCCCCGGUGAACGGCGGCCGUAACUAUAACGGUCCUAAGGUAGCGAAAUUCCUUGUCAGGU